UCCACACACAGCCAAAUUUUCUCCAGGGAUCUAUUCCUUGAGACCUAUUGAGGAAGUCGCAUCUUUUUUAUCCUUGUGAUUGUCAAACCAGCCAUAUAAGUUUUGCUUUCAGAAUUUCACGUGAGUCAACAUUGAAACCAGAAAUAAUUUUGACUAUAAGAGCAGAAGACCACAC